rnacentral:tRNA from 1 species
GCAGUGGUAGUUCACUGGUAGAAUUCUUGCCUUCUACUCGGGAGACCUGGGUUCAGUUCCUGGCCAGUGCA